UACGUAGGGGGCGAGCGUUGUCCGGAGUUACUGGGCGUAAAGCGCACGCAGGCGGUCUGCUAAGUUUGGAGUGACAGUUGGUGGCUUAACUGCCAAAGUGCUUCGAAAACUGACAGACUUGAGGGCCACAGAGGGACAUGGAACUCCAGGUGUAGUGGUGAAAUGCGUAGAUAUCUGGAAGAACACCAAAGGCGAAGGCAGUGUCCUGGGUGGUCGCUGACGCUGAGAGGCGAAAGCCAGGGGAGCGAACGGG
rnacentral:rRNA from 1 species